AUGCUGCAGCGAGGCGGCUAUUUUGGACCACGUGGGCGUCUGAAUUCCAGGCGAAAUCCUGCUCAGAAAAGCGCCCGUCAGGGUCCCCGUGGCUGGGAAUGCUGCGCUCUGUGUGUCCCCACGGCUCCUGCACGGCACCGCAGCCUCACGCAGCCCCAUCCCCAACCCCUGGCUCUCCUCACCGUCCCAUCUCCCUCCACGUUGCUGGCUCCAUCCACCCUCCCGUGGGCAGACAGAGCCACCGGCCCACACCCCACGCUGCCCCAUGGCAGCCCCACACCGCUCACAGUGGGGCACACAGCUGCGGGUGGGAGCGGGCAGGGCCAGGCGCUUCCUGCCCCUCUCCUGGCCGCCGCGGAGCGUGUUUGCUUUGAGGCCCGUGUCCUCCUGCCAGGACAUUCCGGGCAGCUCGGCUGCAGCUCGCAGGGAGCCGUGGGACGGCCCCGACCACAGCUGCCCCGCUCCCAGCUCUGUGUGGGGCAGAGCCCCCCCCCCGGCCCCACACAUCCCCAGAGCCGGGGCGACUGCCCGCCAUGUGGGAGACAGCUGGGGUUAAAAAUUAACGCGGCGCUGCCUCAAUUAAUGCAGCACGGCCGGCCCUGGGCUACGUGCUGCAGCAGGAAAGCAGCGCUGGCUGCGGGGCCCUGUUGCCUGGCAGUUCCCAUUGCACCAUCCCAAUGGCCAUUAAUGGCCGCAGAGCCCAGGCCCCACCUCGGGGACACUCAUGGCUGGGCGCUGACCCCGCUGUGCUCUUGGCACUGUGUCUCUGCAGCCCUGUCCCCAUUCACUGAUUCCAGAUCACCGUGUGGAGCUGCUGAGCAGCCCCCAGCUCUGUCACCCCCUUGGUCUGUGGCAUCCAGGCUCAGGGUUUGCAGGUCGGAUUUGUUCUGGAACGUGCUUGUGUGCUGGGAGCCACAGGGACGCAUCCUCUCACACAGCCCCACAUCCCCACUGCUGUCCCAUGUCCCAUCAGCCCCACAUCCCACUGACACCCCCACCUGCAGGGCCGUGUCCUGCCCGCUGCUUCCCCGCUGCUAUGCCAGCAAUGCUGCAGCAGCACGGCCGGCCUCCGCCUGGAGCCCAGAGCAGCUCCUGGCUUUGCUCAGCAGCCGGAGAGAGGAGACAGCACAGGGCCCCGCCGCGGGAGACACGUGCCCGGGUGGCGGGGAUGGUUUUGGCACCGCUCCUGGCACACGGGGCUGGAGCAGCGCUGCCGCCUGCACGGCUGCUCUGUGCCCUCGUCCUCCAGCCCUGCCCUUCUCACUCCCCACCCCCGACUCCUCACCUUCCUUCCCAUCCCCUGUGCCCUCUGUCCCUCCCCACCAGCUUCCUGCACUCAAGUGCCCUCCAUCAUCAUCUCCAUCCCAUCCCCAUCUUCAUCCUCAUCCCCACCCCUAUCCCCAUCCCAUCCCCCGUGUAAGUGCCUCUUUGGCUCCAUGCCUCAGUUUCCCCUCUUUUUGCUGCAGUCCCUGCAGGCUGCACCUUCCCUCAGCCCAGCUCACUGCAAAUGACCUCAGCCCUCAGCUCAGCUUCAUCCCAGCAGAUGCACUUUGCAGUGUGCACAAAGCCCAUGUGCAGUGCAGGACGUGGGGGGUUGUGGCCGUGGUGCCCCACUGUUAUGGCACUGAGGGCCUCCAUGUUACUGCUCACCAGCAGGACCUGUCCCCCCCCACCCCACCAGUGCCAUCACAACCCCAGUGUGAGAACUGGUGCACGGGAGGGUCCGGCUGA
ensembl:lncRNA